GCCCGGAUGGUCUAGUGGUAUGAUUCUCGCUUGUAAGUUGACCUUAAUCAACAAAUGCUUCCUUCAUUAGAUACUAAUAAACAAAUACAGUGGGCUGUACUGUUCCAAUCUGCGAGAGGUCCCGCGUUCAAACCGCGGUUCGGGCC